GUUCUAACGUGGGCCCCUAAUCGGGGUUGCGGACAGUGUCUGGUGGGUAGUUUGACUGGGGCGGUCUCCUCCUAAAGAGUAACGGAGGAGCACGAAGGUUGGCUAAUCCUGGUCGGACAUCAGGAGGUUAGUGCAAUGGCAUAAGCCAGCUUGACUGCGAGCGUGACGGCGCGAGCAGGUGCGAAAGCAGGUCAUAGUGAUCCGGUGGUUCUGAAUGGAAGGGCCAUCGCUCAACGGAUAAAAGGUACUCCGGGGAUAACAGGCUGAUACCGCCCAAGAGUUCAUAUCGACGGCGGUGUUUGGCACCUCGAUGUCGGCUCAUCACAUCCUGGGGCUGAAGUAGGUCCCAAGGGUAUGGCUGUUCGCCAUUUAAAGUGGUACGCGAGCUGGGUUUAGAACGUCGUGAGACAGUUCGGUCCCUAUCUGCCGUGGGCGCUGGAGAACUGAGGGGGGCUGCUCCUAGUACGAGAGGACCGGAGUGGACGCAUCACUGGUGUUCGGGUUGUCAUGCCAAUGGCACUGCCCGGUAGCUAAAUGCGGAAGAGAUAAGUGCUGAAAGCAUCUAAGCACGAAACUUGCCCCGAGAUGAGUUCUCCCUGAGACUUAGAGUCUCCUGAAGGAACGUUGAAGACGACGACGUUGAUAGGCCGGGUGUGUAAGCGCAGCGAUGCGUUGAGCUAACCGGUACUAAUGAACCGUGAGGCUUAACCUU
rnacentral:rRNA from 1 species